GCAAAUCAAACAAGAUAAGAUUGAUAUCCAAAAAUUAGCGAACCAUAUCUCGCGCAUGAGAUCGGGUUGGCCAAUUUUAAAUUAAAUCGCGAAUCAAAUCUCGGGCUUGAGAUUGGAUUGUCGAUUUUUGUAAGGAAUUGCGAGUCGGAUUUCGGGCGCGAAAAUCGGACUGUCAAUCCCUAGCUCGAGGGACUAUUUCAUGUUGGAAUUCAACCAUUCAUUCAGGAAUAAUCCUACUAAAAAAACAAAGUAAAUAAAUGAAACUAACAUAAAAAAUAAUAAUAAAGUAAAGAAAAAACUACCUAAUUGAUUUUCCUUUUUUUUUUCUUUUGUUUUUCUGUUUUCUUUUUCCCUUCCCAAGCACGGAUUGCUCGUGGCAGGUCACCUACGGCAACUGGCGUCGGUCCGGCAGGGCAGCUCCGGCGAAGGGAAGGCACGGUUGGUCGCAGGUCAGGCGGGACAGGGACGACACAAGAGCAGCAGCAGCAGUCGUCGGGGGAGGCUCGGAGCAGCACAGCAGCAGCUUCGUCGGACGGAACAGAGGCGUCACGGGUGGAGGCGCUGCAGGGGCAUCGGACGGACGGGCUGGAGCGGAUCACCGGUGAAGGCGGGGCAGCGUUGCUGCGUCUGGGCGGAAGGUUCGGGUGGUCAGGGGCGGAACUAGGAAGGCUUGAGUCCUGUUCUGACGAUUUGCGUGCGGGCGGCGUCCGGAGUCGAACAGGGCGUCGCGGGUCUGCCUGGCGAAGCGGCUCGACUCGAGCUCGGGUCGUCGCGAGGAGGCGAUCGGCGAUUGCUGGUGUCGCGUCGCCGCGGGUGGAGCGACGGGCGGUGGAGCGACGGGCGGUGAUGGGCAGAUCUGGCUCGAGUCCGGUCUCGGCAGAGCUUUGGUGGACCGGAGCGGCAGAUCGGGUUCCGAGCGAGUGCGGGGACGGAGGCCGAGGGGAUCCGGCGGUGCGGCGGUGCGGCACCGAGGGUCGGCGAUCGGUGCGGCCGGUGGAGGUGCGAGGGCGUCCGGCGGGCUUCUUGGCUGCGGGUGGAAGGCAAAACAGAGCCGGCGAGCGUGAGGGAGACGAUGAACAGUAAACGUCCCCUCACCUCUGCCUUUUUACUUUUUACCUUUUCCCCUCUCUCUCUCUCUCUGCAGAAGAAAAACUUCUCUUCACUUUUUUCUUUUUUUUUCUUUUUUUUCUUUCUUUCUCUCCUGCACAAACCCUUCCCUCUCGACUUUCUCUCUGCUAUUUCACUGUUGCUGUCCCUUCUCCCUGCUACUUCUUCAGCCUUUUUCUCUUUCUCUGCAGCAGCAAAAUCUUCUUUUUGCUGUUGACUUUUCUCCUCUUCCCCUCAAAGCUUUUUCUCUUCUUUUUUUUUAAAAGGGAACGAACGGAGAAACCCAAGUUUCUCGUCUCUCUUUUUUCGUGGAAUUUGUGCGGCCGUUUAAUGUGUGGCCCCCACCUCAAACCCUACGCAUUUAAUCUAUUUAUAAGCCA
rnacentral:lncRNA from 1 species